rnacentral:lncRNA from 1 species
CGGUACGCGGGCAAGAUUUUCAAUUUUUUUAUUUACUCAUCUUAAAAGACUAAUAUUAAAAAUAUACUUUUAACGUUUCAAAUUAUUACGAAUAUAUCACUAGAGUUAAAUUAUAUUAUUAGUGAUCUGUUAGGAAUAACUGUUAUCUCUAUAAAAUUAUUAUUUUAUUCUUUUAAAUAUAUCUUUUAUCAUCACCAAUUUUCUUAUUUAUCCUUAAAUCAGAGUAAAAAAUGUAUUUUAAUUUUUUUGAAAAAAAUAUACUCUUCUAUUAUCACAAUUUUUUCUUAUUUGCUCCUAAGUUAGAGGCAAAAGAGAUAUUUAAUUUUUUUAACUCUGGUAUAAAUUUAACUCAGGUUUAAUCCGAGAUAACUUAACAGGUACUAACAGUGGGAGUAUUAUUAAAUAACAGAGAAAUAUAUUAGAGGUAUACUGAAAAAGAAAUAUAUCAGAUAUUUCAGAAGUUUUGAGGCGUAUACAGGUAAUUAUACUAAAAAGUUAAUUAUGUUUAUUUCAAGAGCUAAUUUGUUAAAAUUGUUAAUUUACCAAUAUCACUCAAAUAAAAGUAAAAAAAAAAAGAGGCUAAAUUACAUAAAACCUUUCUGUCAAAAUCCGAUUUUUUACUUUUCCUUCCUGUCAUUUAGAAACCUACACUUUGUCUCCUUGUAAAAUAAAAAAUGUUCACUUUGUCCCCUACCGUUAGUAAUCCGUUAGGGUUUAGUUUAUAAAAUAUUAUUAUAUUUUUUUUUAUGUCAAAAAUGCCCUCAGCCUUCUCUUCUGUGAACAUGAUGGGAGGCAAAAUGGUGAGGGGCAAAAUAAUCAUUUUAUCAUCAUAGUUCACAUCGUACCCCUUGUGAAUAUUUUUUAUUUUACAAGGAGGCAAAGUGUAGGUUUUUAAAUGACAGGGGAAGUGAAAAAUUGGGUUUUGAGUCUUUUGACGGGUGGAUUUUUUGUAAUUUAGCAAAAAAAAAAAAGAAAUA